GGGUUCUAAAGGCGCAAGGAGUUGUAUCUUUUUCUUUGACUGAAACGAAGACGUAACAAAGCGGAGAGGGAAACCUAAAAAGAAGCUGAGCUUGGCACUGAAACAAAGGAGACCUCAGGUGAACCAAUGGACUUAAUUUCUACUUUUCAAAAUAGUUCUGUCAAAACAAGAACAGCAACAACAACGACUAUCUCCCCACCCAAACCUAGGAUCUGUGGAGACUCUGUGAAUGUAGAAGUAGAUGGAAUAAAUACUCACUUGAUUCCAUGGCAACCUUACAUUAACUUCAAAUGUGAUCUUAAGAGACUAAGCACACGAACAAUAGAUGCUAUUGUGCUCAUUCAUCCUGAUCAGAGAAGCUCCUGCUGGAUCUCUGAGAGGGAACGUGAUUUGACAAGAUGGCAGCUGACUAAGAUUUUCUCUACCUAUGUGGAGAUACUACUUCUUGUGAAGGAGGAGAAAGAGAAGAGCAGAUUGAGAAUUGUAAGAUGA
rnacentral:lncRNA from 1 species